rnacentral:rRNA from 1 species
AACGAACGCUGGCGGCAUGCCUAACACAUGCCAGUCGAACGAGACCUUCGGGUCUAGUGGCGCACGGGUGCGUAACGCGUGGGAACCUGCCCUUAGGUUCGGAAUAACUCCCCGAAAGGGGUGCUAAUACCGGAUAAUGUCUUCGGACCAAAGAUUUAUCGCCUUUGGAUGGGCCCGCGUUGGAUUAGCUAGUUGGUAGGGUAAAAGCCUACCAAGGCGACGAUCCAUAGCUGGUCUGAGAGGAUGAUCAGCCACACUGGGACUGAGACACGGCCCAGACAGGAGGGGGGAAGAGGAGAAGGGAAUAAGGAACAUGGGGCAAAGGGCUAAGCGAGGAAGGGGGGGUAAGUGGUGAGGACCUGAGGGUUGUAAAACUCAUGGAACAGGGAUAAUAGGGACAGUGGGGGGAGAAGAGCCUCCGGAGAGCUCCGUGCGAGGGGCGGCGUGAAUAGAACAGAAGGGACGACGCAGAUC